rnacentral:rRNA from 1 species
GUAGGGAAUAUUGGGCAAUGGAUGCAAGUCUGACCCAGCCAUGCCGCGUGGAGGAAGAAGGUCCUCUGGAUUGUAAACUCCUUUUUUGGGGGAAGAAUAGUUCUCUUGCGAGGGAAUGUGACGGUACCCUAAGAAUAAGCCACGGCUAACUACGUGCCAGCAGCCGCGGUAAUACGUAGGUGGCAAGCGUUGUCCGGAUUUAUUGGGUUUAAAGGGUGCGUAGGUGGUUUGAUAAGUCAGUGGUGAAAGCUGGUUGCUCAACAAUCAAGUUGGCAUUGAUACUGUCGGACUUGAGAGAAGUGGAGGUUCAUGGAAUGGAUGGUGUAGCGGUGAAAUGCAUAGAUAUCAUCCAGAACGUCGAUUGCGAAGGCAGUGGGCUGUACUUUAUCUGACACUGAGGCACGAAAGUGUGGGGAUCAAACAGGAUUAGAAACCCGGGUAGUCC